rnacentral:sRNA from 1 species
GGGAGGGAUUGACACUGGCAGCCUGGAGCCUUGUGUCUAUGAGAAGGUGCCUACCAGUAACACAGAGGGAGGCUGGUCCUGCUCUCUCGCUGAGUACAUCCGCCACAACGACAUGCCCAUCUACGAAGCUGCCGACAAAGCCCUGAAAACCUUCCAGGAGGAGUUCAUGCCGGUGGAGACCUUCUCAGAGUUCCUUGAUGUGGCUGGUCUUUUAUCAGAAAUCACCGAUCCAGAGAGCUUCCUGAAGGACCUGUUGAACUCAGUCCCCUGACCACCACACAGCAGCUGCGGCGGUGAAGACGAAGCUAGCUUGCCUUCCACCCUCUGUUCUCCUUCCUUGUGCGUUGAGUUCCCUCCGUGGGAUGCUGCAUUGUUACCCCGCCCUCCCCUCUCUCAUUUUUCUUGGUGUGGCUUGGGGUUUUUAGGCUUCCUGUUUUAUCUCGUGUGUGUGGUGCACUAGCUGUGAAGUUGUCUGUAACCCAAGCCAUCAAAGGGCCUGUACAUACCUAGGAGCCAUGAGUUGUCCCGGCCAACUU